AACCAUCUUCAUCAAUCAGCAUGAAAAAGUGGUUUCAAAGAAUGUAAGAGUUUUUCGAAAAUGUUUUUGAAAAUUCUAACAAAACAAAACUAUCUUCCAUUCUUCCUCUUACCAGUUGCAAAGUUUCCUCGAGACAGUUGAUUAAUGUUGACUUAUUCGAUUGCCCUUUUUUUGGGUUUUACAUAUUGGAACUCCCUAGAUUGUGGAAGAUUGGCAAAAAAAAAAAUGAAAACAUGGUGGACAGUUAUUGUAGCAUUUUGUUAGUGUUUUGUAGGUUGUUGAAUAUUGUUUUGUUUUUUUUAGAAGAGAUGGUUGAAAGUUAUUGUAACAUUUAUAUUUUUAUUUUUAUUUUUUUUGUAAUGCUACCAUUUAAUGGUUGUAAAGUUUUAAUUGAAGAGGAAAUAAUUAAGAGGGCUAGUGAGGAUUACAAACACCACAGCCGCUAGAUGUCUUUUGUAGGAUGAGAUUGGGGU